UGGUGAACGGACUCAUGGCCGCAGGAGCAG
rnacentral:piRNA from 1 species